UACGUAGGGUGCGAGCGUUGUCCGGAAUUAUUGGGCGUAAAGGGCUCGUAGGCGGUUUUGUCGCGUCGGGGAGUGAAAAACCUUUGGGGCUUAACUCAGGGCUUGCUUUCGAUACGGGCAGACUAGAGGUAUGCAGGGGAGAACGGAAUUCCUGGUGUAGCGGUGAAAAUGCGCAGAUAUCAGGAGGAACACCGGUGGCGAAGGCGGUUCUCUGGGCAUGAUCUGACGCUGAGGAGCGAAAGUGUGGGGAGCGAACAGG
rnacentral:rRNA from 1 species